UCCGGGGUAGCUCAAUUGGCAGACGCGUUCGGCUGUUAACCGAAAGGUUGUGGGUUCGAGUCCCACCCCCGGAG
rnacentral:tRNA from 1 species